rnacentral:tRNA from 1 species
UCUCAACUACAGGAAC